UCAGGAUGAACGCUGGCGGCGUGCCUAAUACAUGCAAGUCGAGCGAAUGGAUUAAGAGCUUGCUCUCAUGAAGUUAGCGGCGGACGGGUGAGUAACACGUGGGUAACCUGCCCAUAAGACUGGGAUAACUCCGGGAAACCGGGGCUAAUACCGGAURRCAKUUUGAACYGCAUGGUUCGAAAUUGAAAGGYGGCUUCGGCUGUCACUUAURGAUGGACCCGCGUCGCAUUAGCUAGUUGGUGAGGUAACGGCUCACCAAGGCAACGAUGCGUAGCCGACCUGAGAGGGUGAUCGGCCACACUGGGACUGAGACACGGCCCAGACUCCUACGGGAGGCAGCAGUAGGGAAUCUUCCGCAAUGGACGAAAGUCUGACGGAGCAACGCCGCGUGAGUGAUGAAGGCUUUCGGGUCGUAAARCUCUGUUGUUAGGGAAGAACAAGUGCUAGUUGAAUAAGCYGGCACCUUGACGGUACCUAACCAGAAAGCCACGGCUAACUACGUGCCAGCAGCCGCGGUAAUACGUAGGUGGCAAGCGUUAUCCGGAAUUAUUGGGCGUAAAGSGCGCGCAGGUGGUUUCUUAAGUCUGAUGUGAAAGCCCACGGCUCAACCGUGGAGGGUCAUUGGAAACUGGGARACUUGAGUGCAGAAGAGGARAGUGGAAUUCCAUGUGUAGCGGUGAAAUGCGUAGAGAUAUGGAGGAACACCAGUGGCGAAGGCGACUUUCUGGUCUGUAACUGACRCUGAGGMGCGAAAGCGUGGGGAGCRAACAGGAUUAGAUACCCUGGUAGUCCACGCCGUAAACGAUGAGUGCUAAGUGUUAGAGGGUUUCCGCCCUUUAGUGC
rnacentral:rRNA from 1 species